GAUGAAUAUUAUAUGGAAAAUCUCGAGAGUUUUAACGCGGAAAGAAAAGUCGGUGUGUUAGGAACGAGAGGAAUGUCCCGUGCGUUACAAAGCAAAGCACAUUCCUGGGAAUCCCGUGAUGCGAAGGAUUCCGUGUACCGAUUUCGCAAGUUAGCGCUGGAUUUGAUCCAUCGUCUUUAGAUUGCUUUGUUUCUCUUGGCUAAAUACUGAAUCGAAUUGGGUACUGCCUUCAGCAGCAUCGUAGACGACUCUUAUACCCACUGUUAGGUUGCUCGGAUGGCCCCAAUCUGACCAUGGAAAAACUAUUUGAAACGGAAGCCGAAGAAGCAUCACCUUCCUUACAAGAUCACAAGCGGUGGAUCGAGGCACAGGAUAUGCUCAGGAGAAGAUUGGUCACAGAAGAUGAUUUCGCGUGGAAAUUACCAAAAACAACGUCCAGCGAGAGAGAGGAGGAACCGGAAGAGGUGGAGAUGUUGAGGUAUGUAGGUGGGGUAGACGUGAGCUUCUCAAAGGAGGACCCAUCGGUCGCUUGUGGGACACUUGUGGUGUUGGACAUUCAAAACCUCCAAGUCGUCUAUGAAGAUUUCGCAAUUGUCACCAUUGAUGUCCCUUAUGUUCCUGGCUUCCUCGCCUUCAGAGAGGCUCCGAUUCUUCUAGAACUUUUGCAGCGAUUGAAGAAAAAAGAUGCCAGCCCUUUCUACCCACAGUUGUUAAUGGUUGAUGGAAACGGAAUACUUCAUCCUCGAGGUUUUGGCUUGGCUUGCCAUCUAGGUGUUUUGGCUGACCUCCCUACAAUUGGGAUUGGAAAGAAUCUGCAUCAUGUGGACGGUCUUACUUAUUCGAGAGUGAGACAACUUCUUGAAGCCAAAGAAAACAGUACUAGAGAUUUUAUUACUUUGACGGGAUGCUCUGGCCAUGUAUGGGGAGCGGCGAUGAGAUCUACACUGGCCUCCUUGAAGCCUAUAUUUAUUUCAGUUGGUCACCGCAUAUCACUUUUUACUGCCAUAAUAAUCGUUAAAAUGACUUGCAAGUAUCGUGUGCCAGAGCCUAUCCGACAGGUCGAGGGAAUACCUGCAGAAGCGUCAAAAGGGAGCGUCAGAAUGAUGCAACUUCAUGGAUCUGGUUGGUUCACUUACUUCUCUCUUCUUCAGCAUAUAUAUUUUCAAAAACACAAAGCAGCUGAAGGGAUGAGAUCUGGGAAUAUAAUUGAUCCAUGCAACAUGUGUAACAUAGGGAAGUAUAUAGCUGCUACAAGCAAGCAUGUAAAGUUCAAUGACAUUAGAGAGAGUUUGUAGUAUUGGCCCUGAGUUGGUGGUUCCAAAGAAGUAAUGUUUACUAUUUAAUCAAACGAAUGAUUCUCUCAAGGUCUCAACAGCUGCCUCGAUUGUAGGCAUCUCCUUGGUCAAUGAAACAAGUUCCAAGUUUCAAAUGCUUAGUGAUGGUGACGGGGAAUUGCCAGUUGAGACAAAAAACUGACCAUAUAUGUUUUUUAAGGUACCCCAAUCAACCAUGAAUUACAAUCUUUUAUUCAUAUCUGCCUCUCUGUAGAAAUUUGUGGUUAUUUCAAAGUUUAAUGAGUAUAUGUUUUUAAGGUUUAGAUCA